rnacentral:lncRNA from 1 species
ACUUUGAUAUUCCUCUAUAGCUGGCGAGGAUGGAAUUUCUAAUAACCUUAGGGAUCCUGAAGAACCUGCAAACAAUAAAUUCACAAAUGUAGUAACUAUGUAGGUUAAUUUGAAAGCAACAUCGCUUUAUCCUUUCUAGUACUAUAUGAUAAUAAUAGUUUAAUUGUAGGCAAAUGUCGUUAUAUUGUAGAUAACUAAGUAAUACAAUAAGUCUCUGCAAUGUCGAAUCAAACAUACCUGUACUGAUGCUUUCAUUGGUGAUUGCCAAUUCCAUAUUGAAAUCUCCUACGCAAAUACAUAAGGGAUAUGAACCUAAGUUUUUAUUCUCCUUUUUCGUUUCAAUUUUUGUCCUUUCGAGUACUAUAUCAUAAUUGUAGUUUAAUUGUAGGCAAAUGUCGUUAAAUUGUAGAUAACUAGGUAACACAAAAAUUCUCAGCAAUGUCGAAUCAAACAUACCUGUACUGAUGCUUUCAUUGGUGAUUGCC